CUGUACUUGUUUGUCAAAUUUUGUAUUGCGAUGCAGAAUGUUUUGGUACUUUAUCAAUCAAGUAUAAUAAUCACAUGUAGGAGACCCUGUCACCGCUGGUUUCAAGGUAAGUAAUUGCUUUUAGAAAUUCCCUGUAUUUCACGAACAACCAAGGGCUAACUGAAUAGAGAUGAAUGGAUCCCUGAUAUUUUCAAAUAUACCUUAUUUCUGAAGUGAGAUUUAUUUCAAAGUAGCUCAACC